rnacentral:lncRNA from 1 species
GUGCAUCCAGCACUGAGUUGGAAUCAUUAUUUAGUGAGCAUUUUCCAAAGAAAUUAGAAAAGAUUUCCAAGCUUAACAGAGCUUUCUGGAUUCUUCCUUCUCAUGGACAUAAUAUAACAAAAAUACAAUCCCCUGCCCCUCCUUCAAUCCUGGGAUUUUAAGCAAUGCUCAAGUGACCUUGUUUUCAUGUUCUGUGGAAAUAAGGUAGAUACUGUUAUCUCACCUGUAUUAAUACAGAACUCUGUAUAACAAAGAAGUUGUAAUUUAUCAAAGGUCACACAGUGAGUCAUUGCUGUAAUCACAAAGCAAAUGUUCAGGUUCUCAUCUCCUUGGCAGCAAAUGUUUUGUUCUCUAGGUUAGACUAUCUUCUCUAAACUCUCAUCAUAUGCCACUGCCUUCCCCUGCUGGUCUAUCUCCAAGAAAGAUACACACACACACACACACACACACACACACACACACACACACACGCUUUACCUAUUCAUCCCAUCCCUCCCCUAUCCUCCCAACUAUCCACCCACUAGUCAUCAUCCAUCCCAUCUAGGAUUGUCAGUUUUAAGAAAAUCAAGACACCCAGUGAAAUUUCAAUUCAGAUAAACAACAAAUAAUACUUUAGUAUAAGUCCCAUGCAAUACUUAGGACACAUUUUUUCUGAAAUAUCAUUCACCAUUUAUUUUACAUUCAAAUUUCACUGGAUGCCUGUAUUUUAUCUGGCAAACCUAAUCCGAUCACAAAUGUCUACAUCUUUUCCAUUUAUCUCCUAAUUCCAUGACUCUUUCAACUGCUUUUCUCCUUUAACUCCUAUUAUUUCAGAUUUCAGCUAAACAAACUACAACCUAUUUUCCCAGUGUUUCCAAACCUGUCCCGAGGCAGAGAUGAUUGUAAAGAGCCCCUCAGGAGCACUUAUUUGUGGUUUCUAGGCUGAAGGCUGGCUGUGCAACUUUGGCAUUCUUGAUCUAUCACCUGUGACUGAAAGCUCCCAAACUGAUGCAAAACUUCUAACUACAUAGGAAAGAGAUGAAUUCAAUGGUGAUCACUUUCCUUUGGAUCUCUGCAAAACUACAUACCUACUCAACAUAUUUUUGGAUAUAAUUUCAGUCUACACUGCCUAUAUUUCACAAGAGCCAACAGAAAUCAUGUGGUCGGCACAACAGGUAAAGCAGUGUACUCCGGCAACCAUUGUUCUGACGACACAUGGCAGCAUCCAGUCUCUCACUGUUCAAGUGGGCGCUCCACGUGGACCUGACCCAGCCAGGACUGCUCCUUCCAUUAGUGACUUGAAAACCGUGGGAAAACUCCAGUACUGUUCAUUCCAUGGAAUGCUUCAAGGAGAAGUCUCUGGCUGAGAAGAAUUAUAUGUUGUCUUUUAUGAAUAAACAAACAUAAGGGACCAGUCCCAAGACUGCCAGGACAUUAGCAAAGGUCCUUGGUGGGAAGGAUUUAUAAUGAAUUGAGUGGAAAAUACAUGGAGCUGUUAGUUUGAGACUCAGUCCUGUAUAUUCUCCCUUGCUCCUUUCCCAAGUAGGUAAGUAGGCCUUUCUGCUCUGCUGAUUGGGGGGAAUUUUUAUUGCCAUCAGAGAGAAGUUGCUGUAAGAAAAUUCUUGUUGCCUUUGGUUUGCUACAUGCCUGAACUCCUCGUGGCAUAUAGAAAACCAAAGAUGACAAAAGCAAGGGAAAGGGAGAACUGAAGAUCAGGAGAGAAAGAUGGAGAAGAUUCUACCCCUAUCUCCACCCUGGUUGUGAAGCAGAUACUUUCUUUGAGAAGCGAGACCUCUGCCCCAUUCCUCAGUAGAGCCACCUACAGGUGGCAGAGCCUCUAGACUUUCUUGGGAGGAAAUGAAGUGUUGGAAUGAAGAACAUCAAGUGCUUUGAUGAACAGUAUAGACUCUGAAGCCAGUCUGCCUUGGUUCAAAUCCCAACUCACCAUUGUGAGACCACUGGGCCUUGUUCUACUUAAUUCUUUUUGCCUUGGUUUAGUUAUCUGUGCAGUAGCAAUAUUUUUUUAAAAAUCUCAUGGAGUACAUGGGAGAAUUAAAUGAGUGAAUUCAUGGAAGAUAUUUAGGACAAUGCCUGGCACAUAGUGAGUCCUCUAGAAAUAGUAACUUCUAUUUUUUAUGUUCAAAACCAAUAAAUAGCUCCAUGAUCAAGUUUGGCAUAAAAUCAACAGAGGCUCUUGCCUUCAAGGCUCCUCAUGCACUUGAAUAGGAGAGAUAUUGUGGCUACCCUGUUGGACUGGAGACAAGACAGUCUUUUUUACUUUAUCUGAGAACCAUGUUAGUCUCCAGAAUUUUAGAGAAGCAGAGUCCCCACCUCAGAUAAUCCAGAGUUUGAAUUUGCCAGAAAUUGUGAAGGAUGGAGGGCAAAUCCAAUAUUUGUAAUUUGAGGAAAAGAAAAACAAAUGUGGCACAUCUUGCACAUUUGAGUUUUAUUGCAAAUUUCUCACCGAUCCACUACCAAUGUCAUCUGCCUAUUUCUUCUUUAUACAAAACAAAUUCAGGAUAUCCAUGAAGAUAUUUAUUGGCACAGCCAACCUAAUUACAGAAACCUCUGAUAAUCCAGACCAAUGCAAUCCACUAAAUGAGUUUAAGUGGGAUUGAGAAAGGUUUUUUUCUAGGAAGGAGAGAGUCAAAUGGUGUAAGGUAGAAAAUAAAGGCCAUUCACAGCAGUGUUAAAGGUGAGAAAGAAUGGGUGAGAGGACAAUCUGCAACAAAUGGCCCUGGGAAAACUGGACAUCCACAUGCAAACAAGUGAAAUUAGACCUUUAUCUUACACCAUAAGCAAAAUAUUAACUCUAAAUGGAUUAAAAACCUAAACAUUAAAAUAAAAAACUAUAAAAUUCCUAGAAGAAAACACAGAAGAAGAGCUUCAUAAUAUUGGAUAUAACAAUAAUUUCUUGGAUAUGACACCAAUAGCACAGGCAACAAAAGCAAAAAUAGACAAGUGAGACUAUAUCAAACUUUAAAACUGCUAUGCACCAAAAGACACAAUUAACAGAGUAAAAAGGCAAACUAUGGAAUGGGAGAAAAUAUAUGCAAAUCAUAUAUCUGAAAGUGGCUAAUAUCCAGAAUAUAUAAAGAACUUCUAUAAUUCUACAACAACAGCAACAAACAACCUAAUUAAAACUGAGCAAAGGAAUUGAAUAAACAUUUCUCCAACAAUGAUAAUACAAAUGGCCAACAGCAUAUGAAAAGAUGCUCAACAUCCUAAUAAUUAGAGAAAUGCAAAUUAAAACCACAAUGAGGUAACACCUCACACCCCUUAGAAUGGCUCCCCCCCACAAAAAAAAAAAAAAAAAAACCAGAAAAUAAAAAGUGUUGGCGAAGAUGUGGAGAAACUGGAACUCUUGUGCACUAUUGGUGGGAUUGUAAAGUGAUGCUAUGGAAAACAGCAUAACAGUUUCUCAAAAAAUUAAAAAAAGAACUACCAUAUGCUCCAACAAUUACCCUUCUGAGUACAUAUAAAAAAGAUUUGAAAACAGAGCCUGGAAAAGAUAUCUGUACACCCGUGUUCUUAGCAGCCUUAUUCACAGUAGCCAAGAGGAAAAGCAACCCAAAUUCUACAACAACAGUAGAUAAAAAAUAAACAAAAUGUUAUAUAUAUAUAAUAUUAUAUAUAUAUAUAUGUAUACACACACACACACACACACACACACACACAAUGGAACAUUAUUCAGCCUUAAUCAACCUUAAUAAAAAAAAUCCUGUCACAAGCUACAACAUGGAUGAACCUUGAGGCCAUUAUGCUAAGUAAAAUAAGCCAGUCACAAAAGGACAAAUCUUGUAUGAUUCCACUUAUAUAAGAUAUCUAAAGUCGUCACAUUCAUAGAAACAAAAUAGAAUGGUGGUUACCAGGGGCUGGAGUGAGAGGGAGUUAUUGUUUAAUGGGUACAGGGUUUCAGUUUUAUAAGAUGACAAAGUUCUGGAUAUCUGUUGCACAACAAUGUGACUAUACUUCACACUACUGAACUGUUCAUUUAAAAAGGAUUCAGAUGGUAAACAACAAGAACUGUGGAGAAAAGCCUUGAUUUUAGGAGCCAAGACUCUUCAAGGUUCUGUGGGAAAGUGAAGCCUAUGGCUGCAGCGAUGAGGUCAUAGAAGCAGGCCAGUUAGCUCUGCCUUUCAGCAGAAGCGGUUCCCCAAGAGAGUUGCCAGCAGAGACCUGUCAGUGAAGAGCCUUCCUAAGAGCUGGGGAAAUAGCUCCUUUAGUGAUGUGUCACCCAGCAAUCAUGGUGGAAGCAACACCCACUACCCAGACCAAGUGCGAGCUAAUUACAGCUGAGGCAAAUGGAGGAAAAUAAUAGAAACAAGGGGUGCUCUUACAAUAGAGGAGGGAGAGGCAUUGCAGGACUAAUAUAAAGACCAGCUGGAAGUUGGUCUUUAAACUUCUAUAGAAAAGCAGUAAUCCUGGUUCUCUGCUGUCCAUGUGACCCUAACAACUCCUGGGCAACAUGUCCUCAUCCAUCAGAUCAGAAUAAUUACAUCUUCCCUGCCUACCUUGGACAAGAUUGCUAUAAAAAUAAAAACUAAAGUCAUAAAUAUGUAAAUGUUUUAUAAAUUGUAAAGUGCUCUAAAGUGUAGAAAAUGAAUUUGAGGAAGGAGCUUCUCAAACACUAGAAAUGGCUGAUAAAUCCCGAAGACUAGAAGUUCUGAGCUUCAGCAGGUCACCUGGCAGAACUGUCUUUCAUGAAAAGGUGAAGCAAGGAGCAGAUCACACCAAGAUUUAAGUACUAAUUUUCUCCCAUUACUGGUGGCUUCAAUAAUGUUUUUAUCCCUCUGUUACUGGAACAAAUGAUGAGCUUUGAGUUUCCAGGAGGGGAAAGAGCAGCAUUAACUUAGAAGCACAUCAUUUCUUCCUUCUCAUGGAAGAGAGUUUUCAUCUGUGAAAAGCUGACUCACUCAUGUGAAACUCAGAGCUGAAAACUUGAAUUACAGUUAUACCAGAAUCAUUGCCUUAUAUUCCUUCUCUCCCUUCUCCCCUCCCUCCCUUCAUCCCUCCCUUCCCUCCCCCUCCCUCCCUCUCUCCCUUCCUCCCUUCCUCCCUUUCUUCCUUCCUUCCUUUAUUCUUUCUCCACUUCCUUCUUUGCUUUUUGCUCACCCCUUUCUUCUUUGCUAUAUCUCUUUUUAUCUUUCCUUUCUUCUGUCAACAUUUUGAAGCUAAAUGACAUUCAUCUCCAAACUGGUCUUCCUAUCCACACAAUAUCAUAAUAGACAUAGUACCUAUGCCAUACAUUAAAUGUCAUAUUGAAUGAGGCUGGGGCACGUAGGUUUCCGUACAUGGUCAUCAGCCCCUCUGGCCCAGAGUGAUUUCUUGACAAUAGUUUAU